GUAGUAACAACAAUAAAUGACUAAUAAGUAAUGUAAAUAUGUAAGUGUUAAUAGUGAUAAUAAUAAUAAUAAGCAAUAUGAAAAUUAAAUUGACAGUGACGACAAAUAAAAUAUUUCACACUAGAUAAAGUCUGUUGCACAACUUUAAAAUCCCACUUCCACUGGUGGAGCAUUAGACACCUGCUCUAUUUGACCCACCUAUGGAAGCCUGGGGCAGUAAAUACAAAAACUACAAUUACAUCAACUCUAUAAAAGGUAAUUAUGUAUAGAAUAUGAAAUAAUACAUUUUUAUUUCAAAGAUAUUACAAUAAAAACCACCUCACGGGGUCAUUUUGACCCACUUAUGCAUCUAAGGGUUAAUAAAACAUGGCCUUUUGUUUAAGCCGAGUUCGUUUUCUGAUCGGAAUAAAACCACAGAAAUAAUACGACUGACGCCAGUUUGCUUCGGUAGGUGCAGAGAAAGCAAAGGAAGAGCAAAGCCGGGCUUCCUGGGAGAUGGAUGUUGUAACAAAAGUCAAUAAAAAAACACAAAAACAGUGACUUUUUAUCGGCCUCUUAAAGGAAAAGAACAACAUUGACAACCUUUGAGAAUGCAUCAAACCCAGUGGAGGGUUCCAGAAGUAUAAUUUUCCAUGUCUUUUGGCUCCACGGUGGAAUGUGCCCGGCCUUGAACGGGCCUCGUUUCCCUGUGGUUUCUUUGUUCUCUGCCAGUUUGUGUUUAUGUGGUUUUUCGGGACUUGAUCGAGUCCCAAACUCCGCUUCAGAUCUCAGCGCUGGCUCUAUAAAACCUAAACCAGAGAAGGGCCCAGGAGCUGCCAGCUGCAGGAAUCCAUCUGGGUUCACACCCUGUCACUGUGUCUGCAUCUGAACUGAACCACCACCACCCCCCCACCUCCAUCCCAUCAUGCAUUUGGACUGUAGUAGAGUUUAAGUCUGGGUGUUAAAUGUGUGAGUCCGGGGUUGGAGGUGGAUCAGGUAAUGAGUACCUGCUGCCGUCUGGUACCGUUCCACUGCUGGUUUCAAUCAGAACCACAUUCAGACAGGAAGCCUCUGCUGAUUGGACCUGUGGUGUCUGUUACCGAGCCUGAACCCACUCAAACCGACUUUUAUCGCACACUCACAAUAUUUGUCUGAUAGAAGUCGAAGGUAGCAGUUGGAACAUGUGGGAUCAGGCUGGCAUCGUCUCCACUGAAAAGACCAAAACCAACACAAUUACUUUUACGCAGUUAUAGUCUGGCUUUAAAUAAUCCGAAUAAGUGGGAAUAUAUUAACAAUCUGUGAGAAACCGCUUUCGUUUGGUCGCCAUUCCCACAAAGCACUUAGCGACAAAGUUUCCGAUAAGGCCUGAGUGGCGUUUGGGUUUGUUAUGUAAACAAGCAGACUGUGUUUAUGUUGCAGUCAUCUUCAAAGUUGUUCAAAAACAAAUGGAUUAGUGAUAAUUAGGAUGUGACUAGGGUUUUAUAAAUUUCAAAAACAAAUUGUGAUGAAAGUCGUACGCUGCUUUAAACAUCCAUUUCCAAGCUGAAAAAAAGAAAAAAAGAGAGAAAAAAGAGAAAAGUACUGUAGUACCCCACCCACCCACACUGGUCCACAUUCACUUAAUUGUGUUAUAGCUAUUCUAUUCUGUUGUGUUUUCUAUAGAAUCAUCAUUAUUUCUAAUAUAAAUCUUUAAAAAUUGACGAUCAAUAUAAUAUCUAGUGAGAUUCAUAUUGACUUAAACAAUCUGCACUUUGAAGACCAGUUCUUUAUUUUAAACAAAAUGAAAAAUGAAUAAAAAUAAGUGAUCAUACAUUAUUUACUCGUCGUUCACUUUAUUGCAAAGGAGGAUAUAGCAAUGUUUAUGCACAUACUGCUGUUUUUAUUAUUUAUUUAAAAUAAAGAACUCUGAGGUGUUGGUAGUUUCCAGAAAAAUCAGAUCUAUAUUUAAUCAUCAGUUCAUUGUUGGUUUUGGUCUUUUGAUCGGAUUCGUCGACAGUAAAUGAAACAUUUUGUGGGAUUUAUUGGUUCAUGCUGGUGGAAUUAUUUUUACCCAGAAACAAAAAA